UACGUAGGGCGCAAGCGUUGUCCGGAAUUAUUGGGCGUAAAGAGCUCGUAGGCGGUCUGUUACGUCCGCUGUGAAAACCCAGGGCUUAACCCUGGGCUUGCAGUGGAUACGGGUAGACUAGAGGCAGGUAGGGGAGAAUGGAAUUCCCGGUGUAGCGGUGAAAUGCGCAGAUAUCGGGAGGAACACCGGUGGUGAAGGCGGUUCUCUGGGCCUGACCUGACGCUGAGGAGCGAAAGCGUGGGGAGUGAACAGG
rnacentral:rRNA from 1 species